UCCUACGGGACGCAGCAGUGAGGAAUAUUGGUCAAUGGGCGCGAGCCUGAACCAGCCAAGUCGCGUGAGGGAAGACGGUCCUAUGGAUUGUAAACCUCUUUUGUCGGGGAGCAAAAGACGCCACGUGUGGCGUUCCGAGAGUACCCGAAGAAAAAGCAUCGGCUAACUCCGUGCCAGCAGCCGCGGUAAUACGGAGGAUGCGAGCGUUAUCCGGAUUUAUUGGGUUUAAAGGGUGCGCAGGCGGAAGAUCAAGUCAGCGGUAAAAAUGCGGAGCUCAACUCCGUCGAGCCGUUGAAACUGCCGUU
rnacentral:rRNA from 1 species